GACGAACGCCGGCGGCGUGCCUAAUACAUGCCAGUAGAACGCACAGUUUAUACCGUAGCUUGCUACACCAUAGACUGUGAGUUGCGAACGGGUGAGUAACGCGUAGGUAACCUGCCUGGUAGCGGGGGAUAACUAUUGGAAACGAUAGCUAAUACCGCAUAAUAUUAAUUAUUGCAUGAUAAUUAAUUGAAAGGUGCAAUUGCACCACUACCAGAUGGACCUGCGUUGUAUUAGCUAGUAGGUGAGGUAACGGCUCACCUAGGCGACGAUACAUAGCCGACCUGAGAGGGUGAUCGGCCACACUGGGACUGAGACACGGCCCAGACUCCUACGGGAGGCAGCAGUAGGGAAUCUUCGGCAAUGGACGAAAGUCUGACCGAGCAACGCCGCGUGAGUGAAGAAGGGUUUCGGAUCGUAAAGCUCUGUUGUAAGAGAAGAACGGGUGUGAGAGUGGAAAGUUCACACUGUGACGGUAUCUUACCAGAAAGGGACGGCUAACUACGUG
rnacentral:rRNA from 1 species